rnacentral:lncRNA from 1 species
CCCCAACACCUGCACCCUGCCAAGUCUCCACAUUUUCUGGGGCCUCAAGUCUCUCAAGGGGUAGGUGCAUCUUCUAUCAUUGAGGCCAAACCAGACAGUCUUCUGCUAUAUAUAUGUCGGGGGCUCAGACUACCUAGUGCAUGCUGCCUGGUUGGUAACGCAGUAUAUGAGAGAUUUCAGGGGUCCAGGUUUGCUGAGACUGCUGGUCUUACUAUGAGGUUGCCCUCUUUCUCAGCUUCUUCCAGCCUUUCUCUUAUUCAACUACAGGGGUCCCUGACUUCAGACCAUUGGUUGGGUGUAAGUAUCUGCUUCUGUCUCAGUCCUGAUUGUUGGGCCUCCUGGAGGGCAGCCAUGCUAGGCUCCUUUCUGUAAGUACAUCAUAGAAUCAGUAAUAGUGUCACCGCUUGAGAUGGGUCCCAAUUUGGGCCUGUCACUGGACCUCCUUCCCCUCCAUCUCUUCUCCAUUUUUGUCCCUGCAGUUCUUUUAGACAGUAACAAUUCUGGGUCAGAGUUUUUGACUGUGGGAUGGCAACCCCUGAUGCCCUGUCUUUCUACUGGAGGUAGACUCUACAAGUUCCCUGUUCACACUGUUGGGCAUUUCAUCUAGGGUUCCUCACUGAGUUGUGAGAUUCUUUUACCUCCCAGGUUUCUGGUACAUUCUAGAGGGUUCCCUCACCUCCCAACUUCUGGGGUGCAUAUUUCCAUUCAUUCUGCUGGCCCUUGGGGCUCAAUUCCUGGUUUUCC